UCCAGACAUCGAAUGCUGAACCAUCGUAUGGCAGCGCGAAGCAUUUACGGCUAUGCCGGAGAUUUCGACCCYGACACYGUUAUCCGAAGAUUUACAGGCUGAUCAGGAAGCUCAGCCAAAGCCUAAGGGAGAGAGGCAGGAAGAGAGAGAGGGAUUGAGUCAAAGAGAAGAACUAGAUAAGAAAUCCUACCAGCAUUAGCUGCUCUGGCUGCCUCUUCAUUCUUGUACGGAUCUGGGAUUACAUCUGAAAGCUAUCGACAAAAGAAAACGUGGAAUGGUUAUCAAGUUAUUUGCUAUUUCAUUUUGUUACACAUCUAGGUUCGAUAUCAGUGUGAUAAAGUCUUGAAUAAAAUCACUUCGUGGUAAAUUGGAAA